UGAGUACGAGCUGCUACGGCAGCGAAGUGGGUGAUGUCAAGCUUCCAAGAAAAGCCCUAUACCCGUUAAGGCAUGAUGGCCUGUACCCGAAACCGACACAGGUGGGGUGGUAGAGAAUACCGAGGGGCGCGAGAUAACUCUCUCUAAGGAACUCGGCAAAAUGGCCCCGUAACUUCGGGAGAAGGGGUGCCACCGCAAGGUGGUCGCAGUGAAGAGGCCCAGGCGACUGUUUACCAAAAACACAGGUCUCCGCUAAGUCGCAAGACGAUGUAUGGGGGCUGACGCCUGCCCAGUGCCGGAAGGUUAAGGAAGCUGGUCAGCGUAAGCGAAGCUAGCGACUGAAGCCCCGGUGAACGGCGGCCGUAACAAUAACGGUCCUAAGGUAGCGAAAUUCCUUGUCGGGUAAGUUCCGACCCGCACGAAAGGCGUAACGAUCUGGGCGCUGUCUCGGAGAGAGGCUCGGCGAAAUAGAAUUGUCUGUGAAGAUGCGGACUACGUGCACCCGGACAGAAAGACCCUAUGAAGCUUUACUGUAGCUUGGUAUUGUGCUCGGGCUCGGAAUGCGCAGGAUAGGUGGGAGGCUAUGAACCAUUGCUUGUGGGUGAUGGUGAGCCACUGGUGAGAUACCACUCUUUCCGAGCUAGAGUUCUAACAGCCACCCGUUAUCCGGGGGCUGGACAGUAUCAGGUGGGCAGUUUGACUGGGGCGGUCGCCUCCUAAAAGGUAACGGAGGCGCGCAAAGGUUUGCUCAGGCUGGUUGGAAAUCAGCCGACGAGUGUAAAAGCAGAAGCAAGCUUGACUGUGAGACCUACAAGUCGAACAGGGAGGAAACUCGGCUUUAGUGAUCCGACGGUUCUGCGUGGAAGGGCCGUCGCUCAACGGAUAAAAGUUACUCUAGGAUAACAGGCUGAUCUCCCCCAAGAGUUCACAUCGACGGGGAGGUUUGGCACCUCGAUGUCGGCUCAUCGCAACCUGGGGCUGAAGUCGGUCCCAAGGGUUGGGCUGUUCGCCCAUUAAAGCGGUACGCGAGCUGGGUUCAGAACGUCGUGAGACAGUUCGGUCCAUAUCCGGUGCAUGCGCAGGAAUAUUGAGAGGAUUUCUCCCUAGUACGAGAGGACCGGGAGGAACGCACCUCUGGUGUACCAGUUAUCGUGCCAACGGUAAACGCUGGGUAGCCAUGUGCGGAGAGGAUAACCGCUGAAAGCAUCUAAGUGGGAAGCCCACCUCAAGAUGAGUAUUCCCAUGGGGUAACCCAGUAAGGUCACGGGAAGAACACCCGUUGAUAGGCUCUACGUGGAAGCGCAGUAAUGUGUGAAGCGGAGGAGUACUAAUAGACC
rnacentral:rRNA from 1 species